AUUGAACGCUGGCGGCAGGCCUAACACAUGCAAGUCGAGCGGAUGAGAAGAGCUUGCUCUUCGAUUCAGCGGCGGACGGGUGAGUAAUGCCUAGGAAUCUGCCUGGUAGUGGGGGACAACGUUUCGAAAGGAACGCUAAUACCGCAUACGUCCUACGGGAGAAAGCAGGGGACCUUCGGGCCUUGCGCUAUCAGGUGAGCCUAGGUCGGAUUAGCUAGUUGGUAAGGUAAUGGCGCACAAAGGCGACGAGCCGGAACGGGUCUGAUAGGAUGAUCAGUCACACUGGAACUGAGACACGGUCCAGACUCCUACGGGAGGCAGCAGUGGGGAAUAUUGGACAAUGGGCGAAAGCCUGAUCCAGCCAUGCCGCGUGUGUGAAGAAGGUCUUCGGAUUGUAAAGCACUUUAAGUUGGGAGGAAGGGCAGUAGUUAAUACCUUGCUGUUUUGACGUUACCGACAGAAUAAGCACCGGCUAACUCUGUGCCAGCCGCCGCCGUAA
rnacentral:rRNA from 1 species